rnacentral:rRNA from 1 species
AUUGAACGCUGGCGGCAUGCCUUACACAUGCAAGUCGAACGGCAGCGGGCCUUCGGGUGCCGGCGAGUGGCGAACGGGUGAGUAAUGCAUCGGAACGUGCCAUUGAGUGGGGGAUAACGUAGCGAAAGUUACGCUAAUACCGCAUAUUCUGUGAGCAGGAAAGCAGGGGACCGCAAGGCCUUGCGCUCUUUGAGCGGCCGAUGUCAGAUUAGCUAGUUGGUGAGGUAAAGGCUUACCAAGGCGACGAUCUGUAGCGGGUCUGAGAGGAUGAUCCGCCACACUGGAACUGAGACACGGUCCAGACUCCUACGGGAGGCAGCAGUGGGGAAUUUUGGACAAUGGGCGCAAGCCUGAUCCAGCCAUGCCGCGUGAGUGAAGAAGGCCUCGGUUGUUAAAGGACUCUUUCGGUCCGGGAACGGAAAUACGCAUGGGUUAAGUAACCUCGUGUGG